CCUACGGGGGGCAGCAGUGGGGAAUAUUGCACAAUGGGCGCAAGCCUGAUGCAGCCAUGCCGCGUGUGUGAAGAAGGCCUUCGGGUUGUAAAGCACUUUCAGCGGGGAGGAAGGCGGUGAGGUUAAUGACCUCAUCGAUUGACGUUACCCGCAGAAGAAGCACCGGCUAACUCCGUGCCAGCAGCCGCGGUAAUACGGAGGGUGCAAGCGUUAAUCGGAAUUACUGGGCGUAAAGCGCACGCAGGCGGUCUGUCAAGUCGGAUGUGAAAUCCCCGGGCUCAACCUGGGAACUGCAUUCGAAACUGGCAGGCUAGAGUCUUGUAGAGGGGGGUAGAAUUCCAGGUGUAGCGGUGAAAUGCGUAGAGAUCUGGAGGAAUACCGGUGGCGAAGGCGGCCCCCUGGACAAAGACUGACGCUCAGGUGCGAAAGCGUGGGGAGCAAACAGGAUUAGAUACCCCGGUAGUC
rnacentral:rRNA from 1 species